rnacentral:lncRNA from 1 species
UGUGCUCCUUGCCUGUUGGACGUGCUGCUUGACGUGCUGCUGGACGUGCUGCUUGACGUGCUGCUUGACGUGCUUCUGGACGUGCAGCUUGACGUGCUGCUUGACGUGCUGCUUGCUUGCUUGGGGUUUAUUCUGGAAACCUCUUUGACAGGGAUGGAGUUUGUCUACUGAGUGCUGACAUUGUGUUUUGUUUAUUUUCCGCACAUCCAGAAGUGCAGUGUGGGUAAACAUAAAGGAGAAGUAAAGAAUCAAUAAAUGAAUACUGUAGUUACUAGAAAGGAAGUUAAGUAAUGACUCAUUAACUAAACUCAUUUAGAAGUGCAUCACUAUUAUUUGUAAGCAAAACCACGCAACAAAUACUGCAUUGUAACCAAUGUGCAUGCCGUAAUACUUUAGCUUUGGGUCUACUAUACAGCCACACCAUUAUGGUUUAUACUAGGAAGCCCAAUAUUCUAAGAACAUAUUCUCAUGGUCAACUACUCUGGGUGUGGGAAAGUAAUGGUAUGUAAUGAUAUGGUUGGCCAUGCCAAGCAUUAUGGUUCAAUACCAUUAUUUUUAGUACAAUUGUGUUGCUUUGCAGAAUGGUUGUGUUUCAAUCUGUUUCUUCCAUAGUGUUUAACAGCUCUCUGCCACCCUGGUACAGAGUGAUAACAUGCCUACUCUCUUUGUGUUUGUGGGCUCAGGGGUUUGCUGGGGACUUUGGCGAGCGGGGACCACCAGGACCAGACGGAAACCCAGGAGAGCUGGGAGCCCCUGGUCCUAAUGGAGUUCUUGGCCUCAUUGUGAGUAUUUAAAGCCAUGUGUACCUUCACUCUGUAAUUCUCUCCAGGACAUUCUGCCUGGUUUGGGGAUCUCUGUGCUUCUCUCUCCAGGACACGCUGCCUGGUUUGGGGAUCUCUGUGCUUCUCUCUUUAGGACACUGUGCAUGAUUUGGGGAGCUCUCUGCUUCUCUCUCCAUGACACUCUGCUGGUUUGGGGAUCUCUGUGCUUCUCUCUUUAGGACACUGCUUGGUUUGGGGAUCUGUGUGCUUCUCUCUUUAGGACACUGCUUGGUUUGGGAUCUCUGUGCUUCUCUCUCCAGGACACGCUGAUUGGUUUGGGGAUCUCUGUACUUCUUUCUCCAGGACACUCUGCUUGGUUUGGGAAUCUCUGUGCUUCUCUCUCCAGGACACUGCUUGGUUUGGGGAUCUCUUUGCUUCUCUCUCCCAGAGCACGGGCUUGGUUGGGGAGCUGCUUUGCUUUCUCUCCAGGAACUA